rnacentral:tRNA from 1 species
ACCAGGCUGGCUGAGUUGGUAGAGCGGGUGACUCUUGAUCUCAGGGUUGUAGGUUCAAGUCCUAUGUUGGGUA